CACCUGCCUCAGCCUCCCAAAGUGUUGGGAUUACAGGCGUGAGCCACUGCACCCAGCUCACACUCCUAUUUCUAAAUGAAAUUAAUAGGAUUUCCUCUCCUUGGCAAGUAGCUGCAUGCUAUCCAGUGGCUGGUUCUGCUUGUCUGAUGGAAGGUCAUUCCACCCCAGGUAUUGAGGAGAUGUUGGUGCCCCAAGAGACGAUGCUCCCAGGACCCCCAAUCUCCAGGGCACAGCCUUUGGAAAACACACUCCAACCCACAGCCCCAGACACUGUGUACCUCCAGGGGCAAUUCCGUCCUUCGAGGUGCUUUAUACUUGUACAUGAAAUCCAGCAGGUCUUCCUCCUCCUCGUCAGAAAACGCCAGUGGGUUUUGGACCUGGUGGGGCUCCCAUGCCUUCACACCACCCUCAUUCACAUCUCCCUCAACCACUUAAUGUCCAUUUACAAUCUACACAGAGGAGACAAAGUAUAGCAAGGAGGCAUCAGUGCAGGGAGCAGGGAAGGGCAAGGUUAGGCACACAGCACAGCAAGCCAGGCCUGUGAGGACAGCUGAGGCCCCUGGGUCUGAGGAAGCACUGAUGUUUUGGGGGCCUCCUUGCAGGGGGUCUGGGAUUGUGAAAAUGAAGCUGUAUGAAUCUCCAGGCACUGUGCACAGAAACAACCACAGACUCAGAAUCUACUGAAAAGCUACCAAGGCGGCACUACUUCCCUGGGUGAAGAAAGAAGCGGCCUUAACUGAGACACAUCAAUCCCUGCAGCUCAGUCCUGUGAUCCCACACCAGAAUCACAGAAUGCAGAAUUAAGAUCUCAAGCCAUCUGGUCCAAUCACCAUGAGGCCUCCAAAUAGAAACCAGAGCUCUUCCUGGGACACCCUGCUCCUAAGAACAUAUUCGGCCACCAAAUGUGCUCUCUCUCCAUCAACAGAGGACUUGCUAGACUAUUCCACCACCAGGCGUGGAGUAAAACAGACAACUGAACCCUCAUCUUGGGCAGCUUUACCAGCGACCACUGCUGUGCUCCCCAACAGCCAGCAAGAGGCAGCACAGCACCGAAAGCUGAAUUUUAGGCUGGGGUGUGAUUGGUUCAGGCUGGGCCUUAGUAAGUAAAGUCCUGAGAUCAUUGA